CCGAGUUUUUGGCUAAAAUUAUCCCUCUAGUAUAGCCCAAACUUAGAGUACAUCCUCAUGGUAUAAUUAUAACGAAAAACAUCCUUUUACUGUCUCAAAACUUAAAUAAACAUCCUUUCUGUUAACUACUAUUAAAAGUAACAGAAAAAAACAUGUGCCAAGUACAUGAAUUACCCAAAUCCCCAUAUACUGUACUAUUGAUUUCAUCCCAAUUCCCGUCCGAUCAACUUCCAAAAACAAAACUUCAUCUGAUUUUGAACUUGAGCAACCAGAGAAGUUUUUUUCUAGCUAGGGUUAUUUUCUAUCUUCUCUUCCCUUGCCUCACAAACAAGAUUUUGAAGGUUGAAAAAAAAGAAAUAAUAUGAAGAAUGUUUGCUCAAAGUUCAACUGACAUAUCAGUCACACGCAACUAUGAUUCUAUUUUUGAGGCAUCCUUUUUCACAAUUAAAGUACAUCAUGGAGGAUCAUUUGUGCGAGGUCCGACAAGAGGCUACAUAGGUGGAAAAGUUGAAUUUUUUUACUAUGUAAACAGAACAAUUAUAAGCUUCUCAAAUUUUUAAAAAUAUGGUCGAAUAAUGUGGUUUGAUAAGGAGUCUGUGGUGUUUUGGCACAAGUAUGGUUUAACCCUUUAUAAGGUUCGAUUAGUUGGCAGCAACAUUGAGUAGCUAAACUUGCUACUUGCAUUCAAAAGGACAGGAGGUAUAUUUUGAUCAUUUGAGUUUCUAUCAUGAUGAUCUUUAACAUUGCGAGAAGACGGGAAUGAAUUCUUUGCGAAUAAGUGAUACAGAAGCAAAUAGUGAUGAUUUUCAUAAUGAUGAUUUUGAAGAUUUUGAUUAUUCAUUAGAGGAGGAUGAUAUGUUAUUUUCUAAAUAUAUUGAUCCUUCUGCUGAAUCUUUUGGGAUCAAUAUAAAUCAGAGACAUGAGAAAAAUGAUGAAAAUCAAGAUUAUAUAAAUGAAAAGAUGCAGAACGUGGAGGGUGAUUCAGAUUGUGUAGAUUCUGAUGAUAUAGAGAGUUUAAAUGGUGAUUGCGAUUCUGAAAAUGAAGAUUCUAACUUUCCAAAGCACAAUCCAAAAACGGAUGCCCUUAAUCCCAAAUUAGAGUUGGGAAUGAUAUUCAGUAACAACAAAGAAUUCAAAGAAGCUGUCAUUGCAAAUCAAGCCAAAAUAGGAAAGUCAAUUGAGUGGAUCAAAGUUGACAAAAGAAAAGCAAGGGCCAAAUGCAGAAAAAUGGAUGUAACUGGAGAAUAUUGGGUUCAUCGGUGCAAAGGGACACAUAUUUUCAAAUCAAGACGUUUGCCCCCAAUCAUACUUGUUUUGGGUGGAAUUAUAACAACAAAAAUAUCACUUCCAGUUGGAUUGCAAAGAGGUAUGUUGAUAGAGUUAGAUCAAAUAAGAAUUGGAAAAAUUCAGAGAUACAUUGAGGAGGGAAUUAUGGCUACAUGUAAGUAUGCAUCAAGCAAGAAGGGAAAAGUAAAAGGCUAUUGCAAUGAUUGGUGCAGAUAUAAAUGUUCAGUUUAGUAUGUUAUGGGUAUUGCAAUGAAAUUGUUCGAACCAAUCCUGGGACUUCUGUUUUCCUGAAAGUAACUCCAAAUGAGAUAUCUAACAAGUUGAUGAGAUUUCAAAGGUUUCAUAUUUGUUUUGCAGCAUGUAAAGUAGGAUUCAAGGCUGGUUGUAGGAAGAUUGUUGGGGUCGAUGGGUGUUGGCUGACGGCCACCAUGUAUGGGGCACAAUUAUUAUCAGCGGUUACUUUGGAUGGAAAGAACAACAUCUUUCCAAUAGCUUAUGCAGUAGUUGAGGAGGAAAUAAGGAAACAUGGCGUUGGUUUUUAACAUAUUUAAUGAACGAUCUUGAAAUUGAAGAGCAAUACUUGAGGACUUCUAUGUCAGAUAAGCAAAAGGGACUUCUUGAAGCUUUUGAAUCAGUGUUGCCUGAUGUUUCUCAUAGAUUUUGUGUGCGACACUUGCAUAGCAAUUUAAAGAAAGUUGGGUUCUGUGGAAGGGCACUAAAAAUGCUAUUUGGAAGGCAGCUUUAGCAACAACUAUUGACAGGUUUGAUGCUUCUAUGGCUGAUUUGUUUGAGUUAAAUAUAGAUGCUUAUGCAUGGCUUUCUACGAAAUUGCCUAGUGAAUGGUCAAGAUCAUAUUUCUCUCCGCUUCCUUCCGAAGUGCACAUUCUUUUGAACAAUCAAUGUGAGGUGUUUAAUAAAUUUAUUCUUGAUGCGAGAGAUAAAUUAACUAUUAAACUUUUGGAAACCAUUAGGCAUUUGCUCAUGACAAGAAUUAACUCAAAUAGAGAGAAAGCUGAAAAGUGGAAUUUGGGUGAUAUUUGUCCUACUAUUAAAAAAAAGUUGACUAAAAUUAUGGAGGAUGCUGCCACUUAUAUUCCUAAAGAGUCAAAUAUGUGGAACUAUGAAGUGAUUGGACCUGUUGAAGGUGAUUUGGGUUGUUGAUUUAUAUAACAGGACAUGUAGUUGUAGGCAAUGGGAACUUUUAGGUAUCCCUUGAAAGCAUGCUAUAUCAUCAAUUUGGUUGAAAAAAGAUGAAGUUUUAGACUAUGUCUAUGAUUGUUACAAAGUUGAGACAUAUCAAAAAAAUUAUGAAGUUCCGAUAUUGCCACCUUUAUACUUGAAGAAGACAAAGAAAGGAAAGAGACAAAAAAUAAAGAAAGAAAGAAGAUGAUGAGCCGGGAGCUAGCAGGAUGAAGUUAAAAAGGAAACAAAAAUCAGUUCAUUGUAAGAAAUGUGGUAGGCCUGGCCAUAAUAGUAGAACUUGCACUCCUUCAUCUGAUGCCAUUGAAAUUCAUCCAUCGGACUAUCCUUGUAGUUUAGACUCCAUCGUGAUUGAGAGAGCAUCAAGUUAUCAUAAUGUGGAAAAGCUACCUGUGAAAUAUUAGUAUUUUUGUUGGAUUGAAGUGUUAUAAUGCUCGAGGUGGAAAAAAGAAGAAAAAACAAAUGCUUUUAGGCAACUCAGAGUACUUUCAUUGCUCUUGGCAAACACACAAGAUACGUUUAAUACGAAUAACUCAAAGCGAGACUGAUCCAACAUAAAACGAUUAUUUUACUACAACUCCAAAUUCUCAUUUUCUCUCUUUUCAAAGUGAGAUCAAUCCUUCCUCUUGUCGGUAUACUUCUUUUUAGAGGCGGUGCAUUUCUAUGAGCUCUCAACUAGGCACAUUAGGCUUGUCUUGAUUCCUCUUUGCUCACAUAAGAGAAUGGAUCUGUAUGACUCCAAAGCAUUCUAUAAGAGUUGGUAAUAUGCCCUUCCUGGAAGUGGGUUGUCCAUUUCUUGGUGUAGAAAAGUAUGGAAUUCAUUUUGUGUAACUAGGAUCAACAGUAAAAUAUAAAUGUCAAUAAUGUCGCACAUAAAAAGUGAUUAAUUCUAUUGAUUUUAUCCAAUUUCUUUGGCAACUCUA